rnacentral:rRNA from 1 species
UACGUAGGGUCCGAGCGUUGUCCGGAUUUAUUGGGCGUAAAGAGCUCGUAGGCGGUUCCGUAAGUCAGAUGUGAAAACUCAGGGCUCAACCCGGAGACGCCAUCUGAUACUGCGGUGACUGGAGUCUGGUAGGGGAACACGGAAUUCCUGGUGUAGCGGUGAAAUGCGCAGAUAUCAGGAGGAACACCGAUGGCGAAGGCGACUACCUGGCCUGUUCUUGACGCUGAGGCGCGAAAGCUAGGGGAGCAAACGGG